UACAGAGGUCUCAAGCGUUGUUCGGAUUCAUUGGGCGUAAAGGGUGCGUAGGUGGUGCUGUAAGUCAGGUGUGAAAUCUCGGGGCUCAACCCCGAAACUGCACUUGAUACUGCAGUGCUCGAGGACUGGAGAGGAGAUUGGAAUUCAUGGUGUAGCAGUGAAAUGCGUAGAUAUCAUGAGGAAGACCAGUGGCGAAGGCCGAUCUCUGGACAGUUCCUGACACUGAGGCACGAAGGCCAGGGGAGCAAACGGG
rnacentral:rRNA from 1 species